rnacentral:lncRNA from 1 species
UUAUUUUCAGUUCCCUAACUGACGAGAACACCAAAACUGAGGAGAAUGAAGCCAUUAGAGAGAUUAUCAUGCAGUUGUACUCAACGGAGGAAAUUCCAGUUCGGCACCUGUCGAGCAGGAUGCCCAUACCGACCAGCACAGAACCGAUUUUGCCCUCUGUUGUGAAGCCACCGAAGCUAGACUUGAAGGUACUGCCCCAGCA